CCUCCGGGUGGCAGCAGUGAGGAAUAUUGGUCAAUGGGCGCGAGCCUGAACCAGCCAAGUCGCGUGAGGGAAGACGGUCCUAUGGAUUGUACACCUCUUUUGUCGGGGAGCAAAAGACGCCACGCGUGGCGUUCCGCGAGUACCCGAAGAAAAAGCAUCGGCUACCUCCGUGCCAGCAGCCGCGGUCAUACGGAGGGAGCAAGCGUUAUCCGGAUUUACUGGGUGGAAAGGGCGUGUAGGCGGGCAUGCAAGCCAGAAGUGAAAGCUUGGGGCUUAACCCCCAAACUGCUUUUGGAACUGCGUGUCUUGAGGGAUGGUGAGGCAGGCGGAAUUCCCAGUGUAGCGGUGAAAGGCGUAGAUAUUGGGAGGAACACCAGUGGCGAAGGCGGCCUGCUGGACAUUAACUGACGCUGAGGCGCGAAAGCGUGGGGAGCAAACAGGAUUAGAUACCCCAGUAGUC
rnacentral:rRNA from 1 species